GAGUUUGUGCAUGGCAUGCACUCGCCGAGUUGUUCUUGAGACUCGGCGAGUAGGGUCGGGGUUUCACGUAAAGUGUUCAGCGAGUGGACUCGCCGGGUUGGGGGUUGACCCAGUGAGUCAGGGAGAGUCAUUAGGGGGAUGAGUCAAGCCUGAACUCGCCGAGUUGUUCUUGAGACUCGGCGAGUUGAGUCGUGGUGGCCCCGCGAUUCAUGCCAGGUGGAACUCGUCGAGUUAGGGAAGUACUCGACGUGUCAAGAGAGGAUCCUAGGGAGUCAGUGAACACGUAUAGACUCGCCGAGUCGCUCUAGUGCACUCGCCGAGUCCGGUCAAAGUUGACCGUUGACCAGAGUUGACCAGUGUUGACUUGAAAGGGUUAGUCAACCUUAGUUGUGGAAGUGUUAAUUAGAGAUAUAUUGUGUUAUAGGAGGAUUAUAGCUCGGGGGAUCGAGCGCGAGUGAUUUUCGGAUUUGCGAGUUAUCGAGAUACGCGAGGUGAGUCUUCUCACUAUACUUUACCUUGAGUAGGUAACCAGAGUUAUGUGAUAGAGUAUUUGUAUGCUAUAUGUUACGUGUUGUACUGCUUUAUUUCUAUAUGAUUUAUGUUGUGCAUGUUUAUAGAGUUAGAACCGGAAGGUUCACAAAGUUAGAACCGGAGGGUUCACAGAGUAGGGUCCACGGACCCACAGAGUUACAGCCUCGAGUGGCUAAUAUGUGUUAUGUGUGGUAUUUUGGGGAACUCACUAAGCUUUGUGCUUACAGUGGUGGUGUUAUUUGUUUCAGGUACUAGUGAUGACCGUGGGAAGGCACCGGCUUGAUCAGUACACACACACGGGAUUUAUGUUAUCAGAUGUUAGGAAUAUUAUAUAGCAUGGAUUGAGUUUCAAACAUUGUUGUUUUUAUGAAUGUUAAAUGAAAUUGUGUUUUUAUAUUAUGUGAAAAAUUAUCUUGAAAUUCGCGGCGUUACAAGUUGGUAUCAGAGCCUUGGUUUGAGCGAUUCGAGUACACCUUCGGGCGUAUUUGAACUCAAACUGAGGAUUUGAGAAGUAUUUUCAAAAAGAGUAAAAUAUUUUUGGAAAACCGCAGAGCAGAGUCGUGUGUACGAUCAGUCCGUGCCCGAACGGUGAUUUCCUAAGAUACCCUCAUGGUAUGUGUUAUAAUAUUGAUAUGAUGUAUUCUCAUGCUAGAGUAGGCUAGGUGCUCCUAUUAGGACUAGAGUGGCCUGAUUUGUGAUGCCUUAGCCUAGGGAGAGGUGAGCUGCUAUGAGAUGCUUGAGAGUGAGUAGGUAGCAGCGAGGGGCUUAUGAGAGAUCUGUUAGAGAGUGGAUUGUGCGUAAUAGAGUACUUGGAACUUGGGAUCCGAAGAGGAAGACUUGGGGUGUAUACUGAUACGGUACGGACAGUAGUAUUGGGCCCAUACUACUGAAAGCACCGGGGUGGUGUGCAGCCCAAGUAAGAAUCUUUGGAAUGCCAAGGAUCAAGGAGGGAUGAGUUGUUGAGUGUGAGUAUGCUCGAAAGGGAUUCUAAUUUAUCGUAUGUUGUAUUUCAGAGGUAGAUCAUGGUGAGGACACGUCUUAUGCCUGAGAGCAGUGGGGCUAGUGAUGAGGAGAUCCGCCAGAUCAUCCAUGAGGAGGUGGCUGCGGCCAUCAGGGCAGAGAUACCAGAGAUGUUCGGGUCUAUUAAGACCAUGUUGAUUGAGACUUUCGAUGAGCAUUAUGUUGCUCUUUCUGAGGCUGUAGUUGUAGUGGCCACCGCAGCUAUUGCUGCCAUGAGGCCGUAGGGUGGUGAUGCGUUGCUGUUCCGAGAGUUCAGCAACACAAAACCGCCGGAGUUUGAUGGGACCCAGGACUCGGUGGCAGCUAUGAGAAGGAUUUCAGACAUAGAGGGGUGUUUCUUCACUUGCUCAUCUCCUGAGAAUUUGAGAGUUCGGUUCGUGCUGAACCAGCUUCGCUUGGGAGCGAAGGACUGGUGGAAGUUUGUGACAGCGCACUUUACGCCUGCUGAGCUUGCGGCAGUGACCUGGGAGAGGUUCACUGCCAUGUUCCGAGAUGAGUACGUUCCCCAGGUGGAGAGGGAGCGUUUGGCCCAGGAGUUUCUGACCCUCAAGCAGGGUACUGAGUCUGUUACGGUGAUUACCAGGAUGUUCCAUGAGAGGGCGAUGUUCUGCCCUGAGCACGUGUCCACUGAGCAGGCACGUAUGAGCCGAUAUUUGAGUAUNUACCAGGAUGUUCCAUGAGAGGGCGAUGUUCUGCCCUGAGCACGUGUCCACUGACCAGGCACGUAUGAGCCGAUAUCUAAGUAUGUUGAGGCGAGACAUUCGGGAGUUCGCGGUGAACUCCUCGUACCGGACAUUUGCCGAGCUUCAGGCAAAUACCCGGAAGAGGGAGACUGAGCUAGAGACUCAGGCCAGGGAGGAGGCGGAGUCUCAGGGGAGGGAUCUGCGACCGACACAGUCUCAGCCGGCAGCCAAGCGGGCCAAACCCACUGAUCCCAAAUCAGGGAGCCAGAAGGGCCGCACUUGUGGGAAGUGCGACAACGGUCAUGAUGGAGUCUGUAGAGCGGGAUCUUGCUACAAGUGUGGCAAGGAGGGGCAUAUGGCCAAGGACUGCCCCAAGGGGUUUGUGGUGUGUUUCCAUUGCUACCAGACCGGACACCGGAAGGCCGAGUGUCCGCAAUUACGAGGAUCAUCUCAGGGAUCUGCCCCUGCCGCCAUCAGAGCUACCGAGAGUCGGCCAGUGAAGGCCGAGGCGCCGAGGGCACGAGGGAGAGCUUUUCAGUUGACCGCGGAGGAGGUCCGCGCAGCGCCCGAUGUCGUGGCUGGUAUGUAUUCUUUCGUGUAUUUAUUUUGAUGUUGAGAUAUUAUGCUUAUAUUAUGUUAUGCGUAGGUACUUUUCUUGUGAAUUCUGUACCUGCCUUGGUGUUAUUUGACUCGGGUGCGAGUCGGUCUUUUAUGUCUUUGGCUUUUAGUCAGCAUAUCAGUGUUAGUCGUGAGGUGUUGAGUCGGCCUCUGAGAGUUACCAUAGCUGACGAGAGGGUGAUAUAUGCCACGGAGGUUCUCCGAGGGUGUGUAGUCGAGAUUUUCAGUGAUGAGUUCCCGAUUGAUCUGGUUCCUAUUGCGAUGGGUGAUGUCUGUGUCAUUGUGGGCAUGGACUGGUUGAGCAGAUUCAGUGUGGUUAUUGACUACAAGCGACAGCUGGUGACCAUACGACACCCUAGUGGGGGAGUUCUUGCGGUGUACGAUGAGGGUACACGUUCUGGAUCAGCGUUUUGUUCGGCCGCUAGGGCGAGGCAGUGUCUACAGCAGGGCUGUAAGGGUUUUGUGGCGUAUGUGACGGAUACGCGGGUGGAUUCCGAGAGACUGAGGUCAGUAGAGGAGGUUCCGGUUGUGCGUGAGUUCCGGAAUGUGUUUCCUGAGGAGUUGCCGGGUGUGGCUCCUAUGAGGCAAGUGGAGUUCAAUAUCGAUUUGGUUCCGGGGGCCACGCCUAUCUCUAAGGUUCCUUAUCGCCUUGCACCUCCAGAGAUGCAAGAGUUAUCCUCGCAGCUUUAGUGCUGGGGAAGGGGUUUAUUCGGCCGAGCAGCUCGCCGUGGGGAGCGCCUAUCCUGUUUGUCAAGAAGAAGGAUGGUUCACACCGGAUGUGCAUUGAUUACCGGGAGUUGAACAAGCUGACGGUCAAGAACCGUUACCCGUUGCCGAGGAUCGACGAUUUAUUCGAUCAAUUACAGGGAGCAUCUAGGUUCUCCAAGAUUGAUUUGAGGUCUGGAUAUCAUCAGGUGAGGGUGCGAGAUGAGGACGUCCAGAAGACAGCGUUCAGGACGUGUUAUGGGCAUUACAAGUUUGUGGUGAUGCCUUUCGGGCUCACCAAUGCCCCGACAGUGUUCAUGGAUCUCAUGAACCGAGUGUGCAGGCCGAUGCUGGAUCGGUCGGUGAUUGUAUUUAUCGACGACAUUUUGGUAUAUUCGAGAUCUAGAGAGCAGCAUGAGGAGCAUUUGAGGGAGGUCCUUGGAGUUCUGAGAUCGGAGAGGCUUUAUGCCAAAUUCUCCAAGUGUGAUUUCUGGUUGCGAGAGGUCCAGUUCCUAGGGCAUCUCGUUAACCAGAAAGGGAUAUUGGUCGACCCGGCCAAAGUUGAGGCAGUGAUGAGUUGGGAGGUGCCGAGGUCACCCUCCGAGAUCAGGAGUUUCUUAGGGUUGGCAGGUUAUUAUCGGAGAUUUAUCAAGGAUUUCUCUAAGAUCGCAGUGCCACUCACCAGGUUGACCCGGAAGGGUGUCGCUUUUUCAUGGGGCCCCGAGCAGCAGGCCUCCUUUGAGACGCUUCGCCAAAGGUUAUGCGAAGCCCCGGUGUUAGCCCUCCCGGAGGGGAUGGAGGACUUUGUGGUAUACUGUGAUGCAUCGAUUUUGGGGUUGGGAGCGGUGCUGAUGCAGAGAGGGCAUGUGAUAACAUAUGCAUUGAGGCAGUUGAAGCCUCAUGAGACAAGAUAUCCCACCCAUGAUCUAGACUUGGGGGCAAUGGUGUAUGCCCUCAAGAUUUAGCGUCACUACUUGUAUGGGGUUCGAUGUAUGAUAUACACGGACCAUAAGAGUUUGAAGUAAUUGAUGGAUCAGCCCAACCUAAAUAUGCGACAUAGAAGGUGGUUGGAUGUGGUCAAGGAUUAUGAUUGUGAGAUCCUGUACCACCCAGGCAAGGCUAAUGUUGUAGCUGAUGCACUGAGUCGCAGGGCGGAAAGCACCCCGCUGCAGGAUGUAUGUUUGAGAUUGACCGUGAUCGCUCCAGUGUUGGACGCCAUUCGUGGGGCACAGGCCGAGGCUGUGCAACCUGAGAUGCAGAAGAAAGAGCGGGUUGUUGGUUUGGUUUCAGAGUUCGUUACCGAUGGUCGGGGGCUUAUGACAUUUCAGGGGCGUAUCUGGGUGCCGUUUGUGGGAGGAACGCGUACCAUUUUGAUGGAGGAGGCUCAUCGGUCGAAAUUUUCGAUCCAUCCUGGGGCCACUAAGAUGUAUUUGGACCCGAGGAAAGAGUAUUGGUGGCCCUCUAUGAAGAGGGAUGUUGCGUGGUUUGUUGAGAGGUGCUUGACCUGCCGUAGGGUUAAGGCUGAGCACCAGAGGCGUCAUGGUAAGUUGCAGCCGUUAGAGGUUCCCGAAUGGAAGUGGGAACAAAUCUGCAUGGAUUUUAUCACCAAAUUGCCGAGGACUGCCAGAGGAGUUGAUGCAAUUUGGGUGAUUGUGGACAGGUUGACGAAGAGCGCUCACUUUCUUGCUAUUAGCGAGAGUUCUUCAGCAGAGAAAUUGGCAGAGGUGUAUGUGAGGGAAGUGGUAUCUCGGCAUGGGGUGCCGAUCUCGAUUGUUUUAGACCAUGAUGUCCAUUUCACUUCCAGAUUUUGGAAGAAGUUUCAUGAGGAGUUGGGUACUAGGCUGCAUUUUAGUACCGCAUAUCACUCCAGACAGACGGACAGAGUGAACAGACGAUUCAGACGCUCGAGGACAUGCUCCGGGCAUGUGUGUUGGAUUUCGGGGGUAGUUGGGAUGCAUAUUUGCCCUUGGCAGAGUUUUCCUACAACAACAGCCAUCAUUCGAGCAUUGGUAUGCCACCCUUUGAGCUGUUGUAUGGGAGGAGGUGUCGGACCCCCAUUUGUUGGGGAGAGGUUGGACAGUGUGUGAUGGGCAGUACAGAGAUCGUGGUUCAGACGACAGAGCAGAUCCAACAGGUCAGACAGAGGUUGUUGACCGCUCAGAGUCGUCAGAAGAGCUAUGCAGACAGAUGCCGGUCCGAGCUCGAGUUUCAGGUCGGCGACCUUGUACUCCCGAAGGUCUCUCCUUGGAAAGGAGUGAUUUGAUUCAGGAAGAGGGGAAAAUUGGGGCCCCGAUAUAUUGGUCCAUUCCAAGUGAUCGCGAGGGUAGGCCGGGUAGCCUAUCGUCUGGAUUUGCUAGUAGAGUUGGGGCAGAUUCACGACACNGACACUUUUCAUGUGUCGCAGUUGAGGAAGUGCAUAGCCGAUGAGUCGGCAGUGGUUCCAUUGGAGGAUAUUCAGGUGGAUGCGAGCCUGAAUUACACGGAGAGACCAGUUGCGAUUGUGGAUCGAAAGAUCAAGGUUCUGCGGAACAAGGAGGUGCCCUUGGUUUUGGUUUAGUGGCAACAUCGGAAGGGGUCCGAGAUGACUUGGGAGCCGGAGCGUGAGAUGCGUGAGCAGCAUCUGGAGUUAUUUGCAGAGCGAGACUUCGAGAACGAAGUCUAGUUCUAGUGGGGGAGAAUUGUAAUAGCCUGGAUUCCCAGGUAUUAUUCAUUCUUAUAAUUUGGUAUUUUGUGAGGAUACUCGACGAGUUGGAGCUCAGACUCGCCGAGUAGGAUCGAGGUUUUGGACGCGAGUUCGCGCCUGGACUCGGCGAGUCCAAGGAGUCGACUCGGCGAGUCCAUGCUGUUUAAUGAAACCCUAAUUCCCCGGGUUUGGAGCCUAUUUAAGGGCACUUAUAGCCUCCCAUUGCGGCUACCAGUCCCCUGAGAGAACCCUAAGAGAGCAAAUUCGUUUUGGGAGAGAAGUCACUUUUGGGCCUUUGUAUUCCUUGUUUAGCAAGAAGAAGGUGACAAGAGCAAGGAGGAGGUGGGAUUCUACCAGAUCCAGAGUCCGGAGGCUUGAUUUUGAGGUAAUGGUUCGAAUCUCCUUUAGUUUUAGGGUUGAUCUUUAGAGUUAGGGUUUUAUAACCCCUUUGAAGAGUGAUUAUGUGAAGCAAAUGGUCCCUCUUCGAGUUUGUGCCUUGGAUCUGGACUCAAAGAGGUCCAGAGACCUUAACCCUUGGGGCUUUUUGGGUUAUUAUGGAGUUAUUAGACCUAGGUGGUCAUUUUUGGGACCAAAUCAUCUUUUGAUGCCUUGUGUGGGUUAUACAAGCAUCAAGUUCCAAACUUUACGUGACAAUCAUGCUUGGGGAGGCUAGAUCUAUGGUUUGGGAAAGCAUAUCUGACCUCAAAAGGUCAAUAGAGUUUGUGCAUGGCAUGCACUCGCCGAGUUGUUCUUGAGACUCGGCGAAUGGGUCGGGGUUUCAUGUAAAGUGUUCAGCGAGUAGACUCACCGGGUUGGGGGUUGACCCAGUGAGUCACGGAGAGUCAUUAGGGGGCUGAGUCAAGCCUGAACUCGCCGAGUUGUUCUUGAGACUCGGCGAGUUGAGUCGUGGUGGCCCCGCGAUUCAUGCCAGGUGGAACUCGUCGAGUUAG
rnacentral:lncRNA from 1 species